rnacentral:rRNA from 1 species
CCAGACUCCUACGGGAGGCAGCAGUGGGGAAUAUUGCACAAUGGGGGAAACCCUGAUGCAGCGACGCCGCGUGAAGGACGAAGUAUUUCGGUACGUAAACUUCUAUCAGCAGGGAAGAAAAUGACGGUACCUGACCAAGAAGCCCCGGCUAACUACGUGCCAGCAGCCGCGGUAAUACGUAGGGGGCAAGCGUUAUCCGGAUUUACUGGGUGUAAAGGGAGCGUAGACGGCCAUGCAAGUCUGAUGUGAAAACCCGGGGCUCAACCCCGGGACUGCAUUGGAAACUGUGCGGCUGGAGUGCAGGAGAGGUAAGUGGAAUUCCUAGUGUAGCGGUGAAAUGCGUAGAUAUUAGGAGGAACACCAGUGGCGAAGGCGGCUUACUGGACUGUAACUGACGUUGAGGCUCGAAAGCGUGGGGAGCAAACAGGAUUAGAUCCCCUCGUA